AGGAAAACUGAAGCCCAGAAAGUUUAAGAACCUUACUUGGAGGAACCCAGCUGACUGCCUGGGAAUCCAGGAGGGCUGGCUGCUUAGCCCGCACUUAGCUGAGAGUCUCAGACUUCCUGGUUUGGGCACAGCUGAAGAAAAGCCAAAAUGGAAUAUUCCAAAAGUGAGGAAAUGUGCACCUCUCUAACCCCCAGAGUGAGACUGUCAGGAUGCAAAUAUGCCCAGGAGACAUUUAGGCGUCUGAGUCUUGGCUGUGAAGGGUUUGAAAGGUUUAAAGAAACUGUUAACAAAUGGAAGGAAUGGAGAGAGAAGUGGGAAGAAUGAAAGAAACUUACCAAACAGAUUGGGCCCAGAAGCCCUGAAGAGACUUUCGUGAACUGGCCAGCUAUUCCCCAGGAUAAUUGGGUUUACUCAUACCUUAAUAGAAAAAUAGGCAAAAUACAUAGAAAGACACUUCACACAAGAGGAUAUCUGAAUAUUCAACAUCAUCAGAAAUCAAGAAAUACCAAUUAAAAAGCCUCAACGAGAUACUGCUUCACACAUACUAGACUUAUAAGAUUAAGACUGACAAUACCAUGUGUUGGAGAAAGUGUGAAGACUCUGUUGACUAUCAUGAAACCAUCUGUGAACAUACACACAAAAUUCUACCAAAGGAAGUCUCAGGAGGCUUUGCAGACAUGGUGCUUGGGAGAGGUACUGAGAUGAGUGAAAGACCACCAAGUCGUCUUCAGGAUUAAGCUGAAAAUAAUUCCUGGUUGCUGCAAACUGUUUGACCAUGGGAUGGAUUAUUCUUGGCUAUUAAGGAACACAGGAGACAUAAUGCUCACUCUAAGGUAAAUGCAGGAUCAUGCUCAAAGGUGGUUCAGUGAAUAUUUAAAGGGCAAUUACAUAAUUACUUUUGAGAUUUUUUUCCCUUAAUAUCAAGUCUCUAAAAACAGAAACGGAAAAGAUCUCCUUCCUCUCCCCAAGUAAAACUGCUUGUUAGAAGGGACUCCAAGAAUGCAUGCCUCAUUUCCAAAGUCCUGAGUAAGGAAGAGAGCUCUACUUCCCUUAAGAAUUAUUUCAGGUCCUAACAGUUAUUGUAGCCAGGAAGCUUAUUUUUUCUCC